rnacentral:rRNA from 1 species
GACGAACGCUGGCGGCGUGCUUAACACAUGCAAGUCGAACGGUAAGGCCCUUUUGGGGGUACACGAGUGGCGAACGGGUGAGUAACACGUGAGUAACCUGCCCCAGUCUCUGGGAUAACAGCCGGAAACGGUUGCUAAUACCGGAUAUUCAGCUUCUGCCGCAUGGUGGUUGUUGGAAAGUUCCGGCGGUCUGGGAUGGACUCGCGGCCUAUCAGCUUGUUGGUGAGGUAGUGGCUCACCAAGGCUUCGACGGGUAGCCGGCCUGAGAGGGUGACCGGCCACAUUGGGACUGAGAUACGGCCCAAACUCCUACGGGAGGCAGCAGUGGGGAAUAUUGCACAAUGGACGGAAGUCUGAUGCAGCAACGCCGCGUGCGGGAUGACGGCCUUCGGGUUGUAAACCGCUUUCAUCCAUGACGAAGCGAGAGUGACGGUAGUGGGAGAAGAAGCACCGGCUAACUACGUG